rnacentral:rRNA from 1 species
CAAUAGCGUAUAUUAAAGUUGUUGCAGUUAAAAAGCUCGUAGUUGGAUUUCUGGUAGGAGUGACCGUUCCGAACUUGAUUGUUCGUGUAUUGUGUUUUCUCCAGCCAUCCUUGUGGAGAACUUUUCUUGCAUUAAUUUGUAGGGAUUGGGACCCGCAUCGUUUACUGUGAAAAAAUUAGAGUGUUUAAAGCAGGCAAUCGCUCGAAUACAUUAGCAUGGAAUAAUAAGAUAGGACUUUGGUACUAUUUUGUUGGUUUGCAUACCAAAUUAAUGAUCAACAGGAACAGUUUGAGGAUAUUCGUAUGAACAUGUCAGAGGUGAAAUUCUUGGAUUUUGAUCAGACGAACUACUGCGAAAGCAUUUAUCAAGGAUGUUUUCAUUAA